rnacentral:rRNA from 1 species
AUUGAACGCUGGCGGCAGGCCUAACACAUGCAAGUCGAACGAGUGGCGGACGGGUGAGUAAUGUCUGGGAAACUGCCUGAUGGAGGGGGAUAACUUCUGGAAACUGUAGCUAAUCCCCCCUACCAUCAUUUUUUCCCUCAUGGGAUUAGCUUGUUGGUGGGGUAACGGCUCACAAAGGCGACGAUCCCUAGCUGGUCUGAGAGGAUGACCGGCCACACUGGACCUGCGACACGGGCCAGACUCCUACGGGAGGCAGCAGUGGGGAAGAUUGCACAAUGGGCGCAAGCCUGAUGCAGCCAUGCCGCGUGUAUGAAGAAGGCCUUCGGGUUGUAAAGUACUUUCAGCGGGGAGGCGUUACGCGAAGAAGAAGCACCGGCUAACUCCGUGCCAGCAGACGCGGUAAUAG